AUGGUGAAGUUGAGUAAAGAAGCUAAGCAAAGAUUGCAGCAGCUCUUCAAGGGCGGCCAGUUUGCCAUCCGUUGGGGCUUCAUCCCGCUCGUGAUUUACUUGGGAUUCAAGAGAGGUGCAGAUCCUGGAAUGCCUGAACCAACUGUUUUGAGCCUACUUUGGGG